AUUGAACGCUGGCGGCAGGCCUAACACAUGCAAGUCGAGCGGAGCGGCGGACGGGUGAGUAAUGCCUAGGAAUCUGCCUGGUAGUGGGGGAUAACGUCCGGAAACGGGCGCUAAUACCGCAUACUAUCAGAUGAGCCUAGGUCGGAUUGGCUAGUUGGUGGGGUAAAGGCCUACCAAGGCGACGCGCCGUAACUGGUCUGAGAGGAUGAUCAGUCACACUGGAACGGAGACAAGGUCCAGACUCCGACGGGAGGCAGCAGGGGGGAAUAUGGGACAAUGGGCGAAAGGCUGAUCCAGCCAGGCCGCGUGUGUGAAGAAGGUCUUCGGAGUGUAAAGGACUUUAAGUUGGGAGGCGUUACCAACAGAAUAAGCACCGGCUAACUUCGUGCCAGCCGCCGCGGUAAUUC
rnacentral:rRNA from 1 species